AGCAUUAUUACCGCCAUUCCAGCUAUGGCGGGUUAGCCAGCGUCCACUCCGAACCCGCCCUCGAGGCGGGUUCU
rnacentral:sRNA from 20 species